GACGAACGCUGGCGGCGUGCUUAACACAUGCAUGUCGAACGGAAAGGCCCUGCUUUUGUGGGGUGCUCGAGUGGCGAACGGGUGAGUAACACGUGAGUAACCUGCCCUUGACUUUGGGAUAACUUCAGGAAACUGGGGCUAAUACCGGAUAGGAGCUCCUGCUGCAUGGUGGGGGUUGGAAAGUGUCGGCGGUUGGGGAUGGACUCGCGGCUUAUCAGCUUGUUGGUGGGGUAGUGGCUUACCAAGGCUUUGACGGGUAGCCGGCCUGAGAGGGUGACCGGCCACAUUGGGACUGAGAUACGGCCCAGACUCCUACGGGAGGCAGCAGUGGGGAAUAUUGCACAAUGGGCGGAAGCCUGAUGCAGCAACGCCGCGUGCGGGAUGACGGCCUUCGGGUUGUAAACCGCUUUCGCCUGUGACGAAGCGUGAGUGACGGUAAUGGGUAAAGAAGCACCGGCUAACUACGUGCCAGCAGCCGCGGUGAUACGUAGGGUGCGAGCGUUGUCCGGAUUUAUUGGGCGUAAAGGGCUCGUAGGUGGUUGAUCGCGUCGGAAGUGUAAUCUUGGGGCUUAACCCUGAGCGCGCUUUCGAUACGGGUUGACUUGAGGAAGGUAGGGGAGAAUGGAAUUCCUGGUGGAGCGGUGGAAUGCGCAGAUAUCAGGAGGAACACCAGUGGCGAAGGCGGUUCUCUGGGCCUUUCCUGACGCUGAGGAGCGAAAGCGUGGGGAGCGAACAGGCUUAGAUACCCUGGUAGUCCACGCUGUAAACGGUGGGUACUAGGUGUGGGGUCCAUUCCACGGGUUCCGUGCCGUAGCUAACGCUUUAAGUACCCCGCCUGGGGAGUACGGCCGCAAGGCUAAAACUCAAAGGAAUUGACGGGGCCCCGCACAAGCGGCGGAGCAUGCGGAUUAAUUCGAUGCAACGCGUAGAACCUUACCUGGGUUUGACAUGGAUCGGGAGUGCUCAGAGAUGGGUGUGCCUCUUUUGGGGUCGGUUCACAGGUGGUGCAUGCCUGUCGUCAGCUCGUGUCGUGAGAUGUUGGGUUAAGUCCCGCAACGAGCGCAACCCUUGUUCACUGUUGCCAGCACGUUAUGGUGGGGACUCAGUGGAGACCGCCGGGGUCAACUCGGAGGAAGGUGGGGAUGACGUCAAGUCAUCAUGCCCCUUAUGUCCAGGGCUUCACGCAUGCUACAAUGGCUGGUACAGAGAGUGGCGAGCCUGUGAGGGUGAGCGAAUCUCGGAAAGCCGGUCUCAGUUCGGAUUGGGGUCUGCAACUCGACCUCAUGAAGUCGGAGUCGCUAGUAAUCGCAGAUCAGCAACGCUGCGGUGAAUACGUUCCCGGGGCU
rnacentral:rRNA from 1 species